AUUGAACGCUGGCGGCAUGCCUUACACAUGCAAGUCGAACGGCAGCACGGGAGCAAUCCUGGUGGCGAGUGGCGAACGGGUGAGUAAUAUAUCGGAACGUGCCCAAUCGUGGGGGAUAACGUAGCGAAAGCUACGCUAAUACCGCAUACGAUCUAUGGAUGAAAGCGGGGGAUCGCAAGACCUCGCGCGAUUGGAGCGGCCGAUAUCAGAUUAGGUAGUUGGUGGGGUAAAAGCCUACCAAGCCUUCGAUCUGUAGCUGGUCUGAGAGGACGACCAGCCACACUGGAACUGAGACACGGUCCAGACUCCUACGGGAGGCAGCAGUGGGGAAUUUUGGACAAUGGGCGCAAGCCUGAUCCAGCAAUGCCGCGUGCAGGAUGAAGGCCUUCGGGUUGUAAACUGCUUUUGUACGGAACGAAACGGUUACUUUCUUAAUAAAGAGGGCGUAAUAGACGGUACCGUAAGAAUAAGACACCGGCUAACUACGU
rnacentral:rRNA from 1 species